AAGAGGGCUGUGGACGUUCGGGUCUAGUUGGGAGAGACAGGGGUCCCUGACUCUUGAGCAGUCAGUCAUUUCCUCCCCAGUCCUUGUGGGUGACGUGGCUACUGUUUGGAGCAGCAAGCCCCCUACCCGAACUAAAGGGCCUCUCCAAAGGUUAAGCCAGGGCAGUCAUUGAGGUCAAAACCGGUCUGUAGUUUCUUGGGUGCAGGUGCCUAUACGACUCCCAGAAAGUCGCUUCUCCCCCAACCCCCAUGCCCAGGACCUGAGGACAAAGGUCUAGCGAUUGUCCGUCCCCUCCCCCCAGUGAGGACAGCCGGGAAAGACCUGCCUUUGUUGUGUACAGAUGAUAUCUCACUGUGUUAUCCAGACUGGACUCAAAUUUCUGGGCUCCAAUGAUCCUCUUGCCUCAGCCUCCCAAGUAGUCAGGACUACAGAACUCCAUGGCAAUGUUUUGAGGAUUAAAGAGGAGAGUGAUGACUAUCCAAAAGUCAGAGAACACAACUAUGAGACUGGAGACACUAGAAAACUAAAAAAGUAAUGGGCCUUUGCUGACUCAGGGAGAUGAUUUCCCAAGAGGGAAGAAAACUGGAACCUGAGAAAUAAGUGAUUUAGUAAUGUGGCUGCUAAAAUACGGAAAAACUAGAAUGAAUGGCUUACAAAUUUUUGAAAUGAAGUUAGAAGAGGGUUAUACUGUGAAGAAGAAUGAAAAAGCUAAACAUUUCAUUCAGGUAAGCAUAUCACAUAGGAAAAACUCUAGUUGACUUUGGUGUGGCAGUGAGUUUUUAGAUACAACACCAAAGCACAAUCCAUAAAAGAAAAGAAAGAUAGAUAAGUUGGACUUCAUUAAAAUGGAAAACUUCUGC